rnacentral:misc_RNA from 1 species
AAAGUCGUAACAAGGUCUCCGUUGGUGAACCAGCGGAGGGAUCAUUAUAGAGUUGCAAAACUCCCUUAAACCAUUGUGGACGAGCUUGAUAGGUGCUCUGUCAGGCCGAAGGCUGGGCCCGUCAAACGGCCCGCUGUACGCCUGCCGGAGUGUCCUUAAACUCUUAUUGUUGGCAUCUUCUGAGGAACUUAUUUAAUAAGUCAAAACUUUCAACAACGGAUCUCUUGGUUCUG